UGCGCAGAGAUAUGGAGGAACACCAGUGGCGAAGGCGACUUUCUGGUCUGUAACUGACGCUGAUGUGCGNAGCGUGGGGAUCAAACAGGAUUAGAUACCCUGGUAGUCCACGCCGUAAACGAUGAGUGCUAAGUGUUAGGGGGUUUCCGCCCCUUAGUGCUGCAGCUAACGCAUUAAGCACUCCGCCUGGGGAGUACGACCGCAAGGUUGAAACUCAAAGGAAUUGACGGGGACCCGCANNGCGGUGGAGCAUGUGGUUUAAUUCGAAGCAACGCGAAGAACCUUACCAAAUCUUGACAUCCUUUGAAAACUCUAGAGAUAGAGCCUUCCCCUUCGGGGGACAAAGUGACAGGUGGUGCAUGGUUGUCGUCAGCUCGUGUCGUGAGAUGUUGGGUUAAGUCCCGCAACGAGCGCAACCCUUAAACUUAGUUGCCAGCAUUUAGUUGGGCACUCUAGGUUGACUGCCGGUGACAAACCGGAGGAAGGUGGGGAUGACGUCAAAUCAUCAUGCCCCUUAUGAUUUGGGCUACACACGUGCUACAAUGGACAAUACAAAGGGCAGCUAAACCGCGAGGUCAUGCAAAUCCCAUAAAGUUGUUCUCAGUUCGGAUUGUAGUCUGCAACUCGACUACAUGAAGCUGGAAUCGCUAGUAAUCGUAGAUCAGCAUGCUACGGUGAAUACGUUCCCGGGUCUUGUACACACCGCCCGUCACACCACGAGAGUUUGUAACACCCGAAGCCGGUGGAGUA
rnacentral:rRNA from 1 species